GCCAGGUAUGGUGGCACACACCUGUAAUCCCAGUGACUUGAGAGGCUGAGGCAGGAGGAUCACUAGUUUAAAGUGCCUUAGAGAGGCCCUGAACAACUUAGCAAGACCCUGUCUCAA
rnacentral:sRNA from 1 species